UGGGGAAUAUUGCACAAUGGGGGAAACCCUGAUGCAGCGACGCCGCGUGAGGGAAGAAGGUUUUCGGAUCGUAAACCUCUGUCCUUGGGGAAGAAAUUGACGGUACCCAAGGAGGAAGCCACGGCUAACUACGUGCCAGCAGCCGCGGUAAUACGUAGGUGGCAAGCGUUGUCCGGAAUUACUGGGUGUAAAGGGAGCGUAGGCGGGAAGUUAAGUUGAAUGUAAAAUCUAUCGGCUCAACCGAUAUAAGCGUUCAAAACUGGCAUUCUUGAGUGAAGUAGAGGUAUGCGGAAUUCCUAGUGUAGCGGUGAAAUGCGUAAAUAUUAGGAGGAACACCGGUGGCGAAGGCGGCAUACUGGGCUUUAACUGACGCUGAGGCUCGAAAGCGUGGGGAGCAAACA
rnacentral:rRNA from 1 species